rnacentral:ncRNA from 1 species
CUUAUCAAGAGCGGUGGAGGGAACGGCCCGAUGAAACCCGGCAACCUGUGUGAUACAAGGUGCCAAAUCCGGCGGCAACGAGAGAUGAG